rnacentral:rRNA from 1 species
CACAUGCAAGUCGAGGGGAAACGACAUCGAAAGCUUGCUUUUGAUGGGCGUCGACCGGCGCACGGGUGAGUAACGCGUAUCCAACCUGCCCACCACUUGGGGAUAACCUUGCGAAAGUAAGACUAAUUCCCAAUGAUAUCUCUAGAAGACAUCUGAAAGAGAUUAAAGAUUUAUCGGUGAUGGAUGGGGAUGCGUCUGAUUAGCUUGUUGGCGGGGUAACGGCCCACCAAGGCGACGAUCAGUAGGGGUUCUGAGAGGAAGGUCCCCCACAUUGGAACUGAGACACGGUCCAAACUCCUACGGGAGGCAGCAGUGAGGAAUAUUGGUCAAUGGACGAGAGUCUGAACCAGCCAAGUAGCGUGCAGGAAGACGGCCCUAUGGGUUGUAAACUGCUUUUAUAAGGGAAUAAAGUGAGUCUCGUGAGACUUUUUGCAUGUACCUUAUGAAUAAGGACCGGCUAAUUCCGUGCCAGCAGCCGCGGUAAUACGGAAGGUCCGGGCGUUAUCCGGAUUUAUUGGGUUUAAAGGGAGCGUAGGCCGGAGAUUAAGCGUGUUGUGAAAUGUAGACGCUCAACGUCUGCACUGCAGCGCGAACUGGUCUUCUUGAGUACGCACAACGUGGGCGGAAUUCGUGGUGUAGCGGUGAAAUGCUUAGAUAUCACGAAGAACUCCGAUUGCGAAGGCAGCUCACGGGAGCGCAACUGACGCUGAAGCUCGA